AUAAACCAAUUUUGCUCCUUUAAAAAAAACCGUUCAGGGCCUCGGCAAUCAAAAGCAAGAAAAUUGAGAUUUGAUUGACGAGCUUUAUUAGAUUGAUUUCUCCUCCUUUGUAAUAUACGCUAAAUUCCCAAUAAUUUCAAGGUGUUAAACCCACGGAAAGCCCUCAAUUCGUACUUUUGCGGAGGAGAUCGAAGGCUUAAAAUUUAGUGAGAUUCUCCAUUUUCUUUUCGACUGCUCUGAUUUUCGGCGGUGACCCAACUAUUAUUUUCCCAUUGGGUAUCAGUUUUUACCUAGAUCCAGACUGGUUCUUUGGAUGUCGUUGAUGGGUUCUUGUUUCCAGGUCUUGGACACCUCACCACAAUUCCUGCGGAAUUGAGUGGAAUAGUAGAUGAAUAUGCUCUUGAAUUUCCCUACAAUGAGAGUACAUGCCCUUGGUUUCAGUGGGGGUUGCAGUUUAUGACAAUAUAGAAUGUUAAUGGGUGACUGAAGUUGUGGACUGUUCAAGAAAUGAGUCGAUCCCCUUCAUUCUCUGUCAAGCCAGAGCAUAUUUUAAAGCCCGACCCUGAUUCACUGCAGCGAUGGGUUGUUGCAUUUUGCGUCAUUAGAUUUGAUCUUGAACAGGGUCAGCUCAUUGAGGAGUGUUACCCACCUGGUUGUCUUACACAUGAUGAGGAACUUGAGGUUGCUUUUAGUUCAUUCCCAGAUUCAGUUUCCCAGCAUCAAAAUCGCUCAAGCAUUCAUGAUUGCAUUUUCUUUUUCCGGAUCCAAAGGCAAGAAAAUGUGGCUCAAUCUGAGAUAACAGAAAACGAUGAUCAAGAACCAUCUUUAAAGUCUACUUUGAAUCAAGUGAUUAAAAGGACUGGAUACAAUGAUGAUGGUCGAGGUUUUAAAUACUUGUAUGGCUAUGUUUUUAAUAGGCAGAGACAUGAUGAGAGGCUCAAGCGAGGUGGCGAACAAAAAUCCGUAGUUAUAUUGUCUCAUAGUCCUUACUCUAGUGUUUUUAGACCUUUGUUACAAAUCAUGGGUCCCUUGUUUUUUGAUAUAGGAACGAAAGCCCUUGAGCAUAUUGCUGCCUGCGUUUCACUGUGGCCGGCUCCAGUGCCAGGUAAGCAAAUGGAGCUUCCUAUAGGAAAUGCUACACUUAAAGCUUACUUGCCACCUGCUCAUAGCUUGCCAGUGGAAGAUGGAAUUUCCUUCGAAGAGUCUGCUUCCUCUGUGGCUCCUUUUCUUCCUAAUAACCAGUCAGUUCCACAAGGUCUUUUUCAUGAUUCGGAUCUUUUUGGUACAUUCCGAGGCAUUUUGUUGCAGCUUUGGGUUUUGUGGGAGCUCUUGCUUAUUGGUGAACCCAUUCUUGUCAUAGCUCCAACACCUCCCCAAUGCUGUGAGGCUGUUGCUGGUCUAGUUAGCUUGGUUGCACCACUUCUUUGUAGCAUUGAUUUUCGGCCAUACUUCACCAUCCAUGAUCCGGAGUUUGCACAGUUAAACUCACUUCAAGAAGGGGACAUUUUCCCUCCGAUGGUAUUGGGUGUGACAAACCUCUUUUUCCUUAAAGCCCUUCGUAAUAUUCCCCACAUUGUAUCGGUGGGAACUGCUGCUCCUAAUUCAAACCGUGCUGCCAUUUCAAGUAGGUCUUCAACUGGAAGAAUUACUGGCAGACCAGAGGCAUUUGGUUUUCAACAGCUUUCCUUGAAAAAAUUUUCUCCGUCAAGUUUGUUGAAUGCUGUGAAGUUAAGAAGAGAUGGACCUCUUUGUCUCAUGACAGAACACAAGGAAGCAAUUUGGAGCACUUACAAUGCAACCACCAAACCAGAUACUUCUAUCCUUAAUAGACUUAUUGAUGCUGGGAUGUCCCCAAGGGUGGAGGAAUCAAUGUCAGUUGUUAACAAUGAGAUUUUGCGUCGGCACUUCUUGGAGCUCACGACCAACUUUUUGGCUCCUUUGGGCCCAUAUUUUAGGGUUACCACACCUUCUGAAAGAUCUUCACCAUUUGUUGAUCCUCCUCCUCUUCCUCCAUUUAAUGCUGAUGAAUUUCUUGCAAGCUUAUCGUCAAGAGGUGUUGGGAAGUUCUUAGCAAAGCGGAUGAGAUCUAACUGGCUGGACUUGUACAGGCGGUUUAUAAAAGGACAUAACUUCUUGCCAUGGUUUAGAAGAAGGCGUGCUGUUGCUGAACUAGAACAAUAUCGACUAUGGAAGCAUGCAAGAAUCAAGACUAAUAUACAACCAUUUGUAGCUAAAAUGUCUGAACUGGAAAUAGUUGACUCCUUCAAUUGUAUUGAGAGACAUCUGCUGGGAGAAAUAGAGCUACAGCAAUUGGGAAGGGCUAGUGAAGACAGUGUAAUGGCUUGUGAGAAACUGAAGAGUGAUUUGCAGGCAGUGUUCAAUGUGCUUCCCAUUGACAUGCAGCAACUUUUGCUUCUCAGCCCAGAAAGGGCAGCUCUUUUGCAAGAAAUCAAGAAAUGACAGAACUUCCUGUGCUCUUUCUUUACAAAGUUGAUUUGCAUCUUUCAGAUGUGUGAGAAUACAAAGACCUUUCAUUCCCGUGCCAAGAGCAUUUGAGUUUAUUUUAGAAAUAUGAUUUGGAAAGCCUCUCUUUUGUACGUUGUCUUUUUUUAAACAAGCUCAAGAGACGAGAUGGUACCACCUCAACUGGGGCAGCACCCCCUGCGUAUGGUAUACAUUAAUUUUCUGUUUCUAAUCUCUCUUUUGGAGUAUUGCUUUAUGUUAUUUGCUUUUUAAACUUUGCUCCUAGUUGCUUCUUGCAUUUCACCUGUAAGUCUGUAACUCAUCACUGGAGGAUGCCAAUUUAGGUUUGUAAUCUUGUGCCGUAUCACAAUCUUCUGGAUCUUGCAUUUCUGCAAUCUUGAUUUGUAGCCUUAAUGAGAAAGUUCAUGUUUAACAAAUUGAAAUA